AAGGAAGAUGAAGUCUCACCAAGAAAAAGAGAAAACACUUCUCUUACGUGAAGCACUUAAAAUUUCUCAAAAACAUCUAAUCUGAAAUUUAUUCUUCAACCUCUCCUUUAUAUAGAGUAAGAGAUUGGGCUAAAUUGGACUCUUACAAUCUGAAAUUUAAAGGACUUCUUCUCUAAUUAGGACUCCUACUUUAACAAGGACUCUUUUAAAUUUAAUUUAAACAUUUGACUUACUCAACCAAAUUUAAACUAGAUUCCUAAUAGGACUAGGACUCCUUAUGGUACAUGGAAAAGAGUCCAAAUCAACUAAAACUCUUCCUCAAAUGCCACAUGAAACAAAUCAGCAAACUCCUAAUCAAUUAAGAACUCCUCAACACCAUGGACUCAAUUAAAUUAGGACUCGGGCUCCUGCACCUUAAUUAGUGAGACUCAAAGAAAGGGAAUUUUGCUUAAAGAUCCAGUUAAGUGCAUAGAAACACUGAGACCGACAAAGAGAUGGAGAAAAUGUUGGAUUAGUGGGUUUCAAUCCAAGUUAGGAAAGAGGAG
rnacentral:lncRNA from 1 species